rnacentral:sRNA from 2 species
UAUUCUGCCCCAUGGGGAAGGAUGAGAAGCUUCGACUAAGGUUCAACUCGAGCGAAGCGAGAGAACGUUGCCGCAGGCAACGGCCCGAAGGGCGAGGCGCUUUAGCGCCGAGUAAUCCUUCCCCCACCACCA